rnacentral:rRNA from 1 species
UACGAAGGUCCCAAGCGUUAUCCGGAUUUAUUGGGUUUAAAGGGUGCGUAGGCGGGUUAUUAAGUCAGUGGUGAAAGCCUGCAGCUUAACUGCAGAAUUGCCAUUGAUACUGAUGAUCUUGAGUAUGAUUGAGGUGGGCGGAAUGUGUCAUGUAGCGGUGAAAUGCUUAGAUAUGACACAGAACACCGAUUGCGAAGGCAGCUCACUAAGUCAAUAACUGACGCUGAUGCACGAAAGCGUGGGGAGCAAACAGG